rnacentral:rRNA from 1 species
GCAGUAGCCGCGGUAAAACGGAGGGUGCAAGCGUUAAUCGGAAUUACUGGGCGUAAAGCGCACGCAGGCGGUCUGACAAGUCAGAUGUGAAAUCCCCGGGCUUAACCUGGGAACUGCAUUUGAAACUGUCAGGCUGGAGUCUUGUAGAGGGGGGUAGAAUUCCAGGUGUAGCGGUGAAAUGCGUAGAGAUCUGGAGGAAUACCGGUGGCGAAGGCGGCCCCCUGGACAAAGACUGACGCUCAGGUGCGAAAGCGUGGGGAGCAAACAGGAUUAGAGACCCGAGUAGUCCCUGUCUCUUAUAA